AGAUAGCUGGUUCUCCCCGAAAGCUAUUUAGGUAGCGCCUCGUGAAUUCAUCUCCGGGGGUAGAGCACUGUUUCGGCUAGGGGGCCAUCCCGGCUUACCAACCCGAUGCAAACUGCGAAUACCGGAGAAUGUUAUCACGGGAGACACACGGCGGGUGCUAACGUCCGUCGUGAAGAGGGAAACAACCCAGACCGCCAGCUAAGGUCCCAAAGUCAUGGUUAAGUGGGAAACGAUGUGGGAAGGCCCAGACAGCCAGGAUGUUGGCUUAGAAGCAGCCAUCAUUUAAAGAAAGCGUAAUAGCUCACUGGUCGAGUCGGCCUGCGCGGAAGAUGUAACGGGGCUAAACCAUGCACCGAAGCUGCGGCAGCGAACGUAUCACCCAAGACAACUUUACGGAGUUGACGAUUGACGGAGCGAAGCGACGUCAAAGCGUUCAUUAAAGUCGAGUUGGCUUAGGGAUACGUUCGUUGGGUAGGGGAGCGUUCUGUAAGCCUGUGAAGGUGUGUCGUGAGGCAUGCUGGAGGUAUCAGAAGUGCGAAUGCUGACAUAAGUAACGAUAAAGCGGGUGAAAAGCCCGCUCGCCGGAAGACCAAGGGUUCCUGUCCAACGUUAAUCGGGGCAGGGUGAGUCGACCCCUAAGGCGAGGCCGAAAGGCGUAGUCGAUGGGAAACGGGUUAAUAUUCCCGUACUUGGUGUUACUGCGAAGGGGGGACGGAGAAGGCUAUGUUGGCCGGGCGACGGUUGUCCCGGUUUAAGCGUGUAGGUGUGUGUUCCAGGUAAAUCCGGUUCACUUUAACACUGAGGCGUGACGACGAGGCACUACGGUGCUGAAGCAACAAAUGCCCUGCUUCCAGGAAAA
rnacentral:rRNA from 1 species